UACCAACAGUAAGAAAAUCAUAUGAAUCAUGGGGAAAUAUGAGAAAAUGUGCAAGGGCAUAUGGGAAGAGCAGGGACUUCCAGCUGACCAAGUAAUGAACUUAGAAAACCUACUGGGAAAACCAUAUUGAAAGGCUUAGCUUUUAAUUGCUAAAUAGCAUGAUCCAGUUGUUUUCCAACUUUAUCACAUGUGAUUUUAUGAGCCAAUAUUCUAGGAAACAAAGGAAACUGCUUAUUUCUCUUGUAUUUUAACCUCACAAAAAGACAGGGAGAUCAACAAUGAUGUUGCACAUCGCAUUGGAGGGAGAUGGGUGAAAUGGAGACUUGCGUACGGGAUACUGUGUGAUAAGAAUGUGUCACACAAAACUUAAAUGUGUCACCACUUGUUGGAUUAUAUUGGUUAUGUUGUUGUCGUCGUAUUCUAGGAAACAGAAGUGACAACAUG
rnacentral:lncRNA from 1 species